AGCAUGAGCCACCUGAGCUCUGCCUCCUGUCAGAUCACCAGCAGCUUUAGAUUUUCAUAGGAGCACAAACACUAUUGUGAACUGCACAUGUGAGGGAUCUAGGCUGCAUGCUCCUUAUGAGAAUUUAAUGCCUGAUGAUCUGUCACUGUCUCCCUUCACCCCCAGAUAAGACCAUCUAGAUGCAGGAAAACAAGCCCAGGGCUCCCACUGACUCUACAUUAUGGUGAGUUGUAUCAUUAUUUCAUUAGAUAU